AUUGAACGCUGGCGGCAGGCCUAACACAUGCAAGUCGAACGAGUGGCGGACGGGUGAUUAAUGUCUGGGAAACUGCCUGAUGGAGGGUGAUAACUACUGGAAACGGUAGCUAAUAACGCAUACCAUCGGAUGUGCCCAGAUGGGAUUAGCUAGUAGGUGGGGUAAAGGCUCACCUAGGCGCCGAUCCCUAGCUGGUCUGAGAGGAUGACCAGCAACACUGGAACUGAGACACGGUCCAGACGUUGACGGGAGGCAGCAGGGGGUAAUAUUGCAAAAUGGGCGCAAGCCUGAUGCAGCCAUGCCGCGUGUAUGAAGAAGGCCUUCGGGUUGUAAAGUACUUUCAGCGGGGAGGCGUUACCCGCAGAAGAAGCACCGGCUAACUCCGUGCCAGCAGCCGCGGUAAUAC
rnacentral:rRNA from 1 species